UUAUAAAUAAAGUUUAUUUGAGUAGAAAUUAAAUGAAAUCAUUAAAUUUAAAUAAUUUGGCGGUAUUUUAAAUAGUUAGAGGAAUUUGUUGAUUAAAUGAUAGUCCACGAGUGGAGGGUCCUGGCAGGUUUUUAUGUAUUGUUGUAUGAAAAUUAUUUUAGGAGAAUAAUAAUUAUAAAAUUUAAUUUAAUUUUAAUUCAAAUCAAAAUGUAGAGUUGUUAGGUUUAAAUGAAUUACAGUUUAAUAUAAUAAUAGAAUUAAUUUUUUAAUUAGAUUGAUAAAAGAGGAUUUAAGAGUAAAUUUAAAAAAAUAUUUAGAUUGAAAUAAUAAUUAAGAUAUG
rnacentral:rRNA from 1 species